UACGUAGGGUGCGAGCGUUGUCCGGAAUUACUGGGCGUAAAGAGCUCGUAGGUGGUUUGUCGCGUUGCCCGUGAAAUUCCCAGGCUUAACUGGGGGCGUGCGGGCGAUACGGGCAGACUGGAGUACUGCAGGGGAGACUGGAAUUCCUGGUGUAGCGGUGGAAUGCGCAGAUAUCAGGAGGAACACCGGUGGCGAAGGCGGGUCUCUGGGCCGUCACUGACGCUGAGGAGCGAAAGCGUGGGGAGCGAACAGG
rnacentral:rRNA from 1 species